UCGGGGAUUAAUUUCNUUGGUAACGCAGCUAACGCGUGAAGUAGACCGCCUGGGGAGUACGGUCGCAAGAUUAAAACUCAAAGGAAUUGACGGGGACCCGCACAAGCGGUGGAUGAUGUGGAUUANUUCGAUGCAACGCGAAAAACCUUACCUACGCUUGACAUGUCCGGAACCCUGAAGAGAUUUGGGGGUGCUCGAAAGAGAGCCGGAACACAGGUGCUGCAUGGCUGUCGUCAGCUCGUGUCGUGAGAUGNNNNNNNNNNNNNCGCAACGAGCGCAACCCUUAUCAUUAGUUGCUACGCAAGGGCACUCUAAUGAGACUGCCGGUGACAAACNGGAGGAAGGUGGGGAUGACGUCAAGUCCUCAUGGCCCUUAUGUGUAGGGCUUCACACGUCAUACAAUGGUCGGUACAGAGGGUUGCGAAGCCGCGAGGUGGAGCCAAUCCCAAAAAACCGAUCGUAGUCCGGAUUGCAGUCUGCAACUCGACUGCAUGAAGUCGGAAUCGCUAGUAAUCGCGGAUCAGCAUGCCGCGGUGAAUACGUUCCCGGGUNU
rnacentral:rRNA from 1 species